rnacentral:rRNA from 1 species
AGCGAACGCUGGCGGCAGGCCUAACACAUGCAAGUCGAACGAACUCUUCGGAGUUAGUGGCGGACGGGUGAGUAACACGUGGGAACGUGCCUUUUGGUUCGGAAUAACUCAGGGAAACUUGUGCUAAUACCGAAUGUGCCCUUCGGGGGAAAGAUUUAUCGCCAUUAGAGCGGCCCGCGUCUGAUUAGCUAGUUGGUGAGGUAACGGCUCGCCAAGGCGACGAUCAGUAGCUGGUCUGAGAGGAUGACCAGCCACACUGGGACUGAGACACGGCCCAGGCUCCUACGGGAGGCAGCAGUGGGGAAUCUUGCGCAAUGGGCGAAAGCCUGACGCAGCCAUGCCGCGUGAAUGAUGAAGGUCUUAGGAUUGUAAAAUUCUUUCACCGGGGACGAUAAUGACGGUACCCGGAGAAGAAGCCCCGGCUAACUUCGUG